GACGAACGCUGGCGGCGUGCCUAACACAUGCAAGUCGAGCGGAGAAAGUUCUUCGGAACUUUCUUAGCGGCGGACGGGUGAGUAACACGUGGGUAACCUGCCUUAUAGAGGGGGAUAGCCUUCCGAAAGGAAGAUUAAUACCGCAUAACAUUUUCGUUUCGCAUGAAAUGAAAAUCAAAGGAGCAAUCCGCUAUAAGAUGGACCCGCGGCGCAUUAGCUAGUUGGUGAGGUAAUGGCUCACCAAGGCGACGAUGCGUAGCCGACCUGAGAGGGUGAUCGGCCACAUUGGAACUGAGAUACGGUCCAGACUCCUACGGGAGGCAGCAGUAAGGAAUAUUGCUCAAUGGCCGAAAGGCUGAAGCAGCAACGCCGCGUGAAGGAUGAAGGGUCUUUGGCUUGU
rnacentral:rRNA from 1 species